rnacentral:rRNA from 1 species
AGAACGAACGCUGGCGGCAUGCCUAAUACAUGCAAGUCGAACGAGAUCUUCGGGUCUAGUGGCGCACGGGUGCGUAACGCGUGGGAAUCUACCCUUGGGUUCGGAAUAACAGUUGGAAACGACUGCUAAUACCGGAUGAUGACGAAAGUCCAAAGAUUUAUCGCCCAAGGAUGAGCCCGCGUAGGAUUAGCUAGUUGGUGAGGUAAAGGCUCACCAAGGCUACGAUCCUUAGCUGGUCUGAGAGGAUGAUCAGCCACACUGGGACUGAGACACGGCCCAGACUCCUACGGGAGGCAGCAGUAGGGAUAUUGGACAAUGGGGGCAACCUGAUCCAGCAAUGCCGCGUGAGUGAUGAAGGCCGUUAGGGUUGUAAAGUCUACUUUUACCCGAGAUGAUAAUGACAGUAGUGGAAGAAUAAGCGUCCGCCUAACUCCGUG